AGAGCGAACGCUGGCGGCAGGCCUAACACAUGCAAGUCGAACGGACCCUUCGGGGUUAGUGGCGGACGGGUGAGUAACACGUGGGAACGUGCCUUUAGGUUCGGAAUAGCUCCUGGAAACGGGUGGUAAUGCCGAAUGUGCCCUUCGGGGGAAAGAUUUAUCGCCUUUAGAGCGGCCCGCGUCUGAUUAGCUUGUUGGUGAGGUAAUGGCUCACCAAGGCUACGAUCAGCAGCUGGUCUGGA
rnacentral:rRNA from 1 species